AGCAUGUGGUUUAAUUUGACUCAACGCGGGAAAUCUUACCGGGUCCGGACACACUGAGGAUUGACAGGCAAUAUCUCAUGGUUAUUAACCCGGUUAUUACAUUUUGUUUAAUCGGUUAUUAAGCAUCGAGUGUUAAAUAUGCUAGUCCUUUCAUGAUUAUGUGAUAGGUGGUGCAUGGCCGUUCUUAGUUCGUGGAGUGAUCUGUCUGCUUAAUUGCGUUUCACUAAGGGCCCAUAAAUUCAAGGUAUGUUAGCUAUCGUCGCUCUAUGGACCCCUUAUACUCGAUUUCGCUUUAAUUAGCGUUAUUUGUUUAAUAAGCGCGCGUCUUUAUUUAAAGAGUUUAAGACACUGCGCAUGCUG
rnacentral:rRNA from 1 species